rnacentral:rRNA from 1 species
UACGGGGGGGGCAAGCGUUGUUCGGAAUUACUGGGCGUAAAGGGCUCGUAGGUGGCCAACUAAGUCAGACGUGAAAUCCCUCAGCUUAACUGGGGAACUGCGUCUGAUACUGGAUGGCUUGAGUUUGGGAGAGGGAUGCGGAAUUCCAGGUGUAGCGGUGAAAUGCGUAGAUAUCUGGAGGAACACCGGUGGCGAAGGCGGGUUGCUGGGCUGACACUGACGCUGAUGCGCGAAAGCCAGGGGAGCGAACGGG